UACAGAGGGGGCAAGCGUUGUUCGGAAUUACUGGGCGUAAAGGGCGCGUAGGCGGCCUUCUAAGUCGAACGUGAAAUCCCCGGGCUCAACCCGGGAACUGCGUCCGAUACUGGAAGGCUUGAAUUCGGGAGAGGGAUGCGGAAUUCCAGGUGUAGCGGUGAAAUGCGUAGAUAUCUGGAGGAACACCGGUGGCGAAAGCGGCUCACUGGAUCGAUACUGACGCUGAGGUGCGAAAGCUAGGGGAGCGAAUGGG
rnacentral:rRNA from 1 species